GGCAGACGGGUGAGUAACAUGUACGUAUCUGCCCUUUGGCCUGGAAUAACACGAGGAAACUUGUGCUAAUACCGGAUAAGUCUUUACGGAGAAAGCUUUAUGCACCAUUGGAUGAGCCUGCACUUGAUUAGUUUGUUGGUGGGGUAAUGGCCUACCAAGACUGUGAUCAAUAGCUGAUUUGAGAGGAUGAUCAGCCACAUUGGGACUGAGACACGGCCCAAACUCCUACGGGAGGCAGCAGUGGGGAAUCUUGCACAAUGGAGGAAACUCUGAUGCAUCUAUGCCGCGUGAGUGAAAAAAGCCUUUGGGUUGUAAAGCUCUU
rnacentral:rRNA from 1 species